AUGGAAUCGGCCAGCACGUCCCCUUCUGGUCCCACCACCUAUUUCCUCACCAAAUGCCCAGGACCCUCUUCCCAGACCCGGCUGGUGCUGCGCCGCGGGAAGGGAUGGAGACGGGACCCGCCAGCCCCAGAUCUGCCAUGGGCCUGGCGGCGAGGGCGGGCGGUGCGGGGCGCCUGCAGCCGCCGGGGGUCCUCGCCCCUCGGGGCAGGACUGGGGUGUCCACAGUGCUCCGUGGGGAGCACCCGUGGGUGCCAGUGCGGGCGGUGGGGCUGCCCCCUGUUUUGGGGUCACCGCAGGGUGUCUCAGGAGUGCAGGGGUCCCCUGCGGGGAGGGGUAGCUCAAGGCACCCAGGCAGUCAUUGCUUUGGGGGGGCUUGGAGGCCCCUUUGGCGUCACUCCAGGGUACCCAAGAGGCUYAUGUGGGGCCUCUUGGGAUGCAGGGGACACGUACGAGGCCACCAUGGAGCACCUCAGGGAAAGCAGGGAUCCAGCGGGCUCACUCUGGGGUACGCUGGGGGCGCAGGGGACUGCGUGGGGUCUCCGUAGGGUGUGUGAGGGGCCAUCUGGGAACAUCCCAGGGUGUCUCUGGGGCCCAUGUGGGGUGUCUCCAGGUUGUCUCCAGGGAUUCAGCGGGGUCUCUCCAGGAUGUCCUAGGAGAUGCAGCAGGGUCUCUCUGGGGUGUCUGCGGGGCCCUUUUGAGGGUCUCUCUGGGGUGUCUCCUGAGGCCCUGCCGAAUCUCAGUGGGGUCUCUCUGCAGCGACCCGGGGGAUGCAGCAGGGUCUGUGCAGGGUGUCUCCGGGGCCCAUUUGGGGUCUCUCUGGGAGGUCUCAGGGGAUGCAGAGCGGUCUCUGCAAAGUGUCUCUGGGGCCCUUCUGGGGUCUCUCCAGGGUGUCUUUGGGGGUGCAGCGGGGUCUCUCUGGGCUGUCCCAGGAGAUGCAGUGGGGUCUCCCCAGGGCAUCUCUGGAGCCCGUUUGGGCUGUCUCGGGGGCCCUUCCAGGGUCUCUCCGGGAUGUCUCUGGAGACGCAGCAGGGUCUCUCCAGGGCAUCUCUGGGGCCUGUUUGGGGUGUCUCUGGGGUCCAUUUGGGGUCUCUCCGGGAGGUCUCGGGGGCCCUUCUGGGGUCUCUCUGGGAUGUCUUCAGGGAUGCAAUGGGGUCUCUCCAGGGUGUCUCUGGGGCCCACUUGGGGUGUCUCUGGGGCCCAUUUGGGAUCUCUCCAGGGUGUUUCUGGGGCCCGUUUGGGCUGUCUCUGGGAGGUCUCGGGGGCCCUUCUGGGGUUUCUCCAGGAUGUCUCUGGGGAUGCAGCGGGGUCUCUCCAGGGCAUCUCUGGGGCCCAUUUGGGGUGUCUCCAGGGUGUUUCUGGGGCCCGUUUGGGCUGUCUCCAGGAGGUCUCAGGGGCCCUUCCGGGGUCUCUCUGGGAUAUCUCUGGGGAUGCAGUAGGGUCUCUCCGGGACAUCUCUGGGACCUGUUUGGGGUCUCCCCAGGGUGUCUCUGGGGCCCGUUUGGGGUGUCUCUGGGGCCUGCUUGGGGUGUCUCCAGGGUGUUUCUGGGGUCCAUUUGGGGUGUCUCCAGGGCGUCUCUGGGGCCCGUUUGGGCUGUCUCCGGGAGGUCUCAGGGGCCCUUCCGGGGUCUCUCCGGGAUGUCUCCGGAGACGCAGCGGGGCCUCCCCGGCGUGGCACGGGGGACGCAGCGGGGUCUCUCCGGGGCGCCUCCGGGGCCCGGCCGCGGUGCCUGCGGGCUC
rnacentral:lncRNA from 1 species